UAUGGAGGGGGUUAGCGUUGUUCGGAAUGACUGGGCGUAAAGCGCGCGUAGGCGGAUCAGGAAGUUGGGGGUGAAAUCCCGGGGCUCAACCCCGGAAUGGCCUUCAAAACUCCUGGUCUUGAGUUCGAGAGAGGUGAGUGGAAUUCCGAGUGUAGAGGUGAAAUUCGUAGAUAUUCGGAGGAACACCAGUGGCGAAGGCGGCUCACUGGCUCGACACUGACGCUGAGGUGCGAAAGCGUGGGGAGCAAACAGG
rnacentral:rRNA from 1 species